rnacentral:rRNA from 1 species
AUACGGAGGGGGCUAGCGUUGCUCGGAAUUACUGGGCGUAAAGCGCACGUAGGCGGAUUAAAAAGUUAGAGGUGAAAUCCCAGGGCUUAACCCUGGAACUGCCUUUAAAACUAGUAGUCUAGAGUUCGAGAGAGGUGAGUGGAAUUCCAAGUGUAGAGGUGAAAUUCGUAGAUAUUUGGAGGAACACCAGUGGCGAAGGCGGCUCACUGGCUCGAUACUGACGCUGAGGUGCGAAAGCGUGGGUAGCAAACGGGAUUAGAAACCCCAGUAGUCC